rnacentral:lncRNA from 1 species
CAGGUUCGUUUUCUCACUUUUGCACCGUUUAAAAUUAAUUUUACUCCGAUUACAUUACUCUUUGAUGAAUUAUUUUUCAUUUGAACCGAUUAAAAUGCGUUUUCAUUGAGUUUUUCUACAGUUUUGCUCAUGUCCUUAGGCAGCAUUCUUGGACGGUGAUUUCUUGCGUUUUGCACUCCUGCAAUUCCCUCCACUACAUUAUCAAAAC